rnacentral:rRNA from 1 species
GGGAUAACUCGCGGAAACGUGAGCUAAUACCGGAUAACACUUUUCAUCUCAUGGUGAGAAGAUAAAAGACGGUUUCGGCUGUCACUUACAGAUGGGCCCGCGGCGCAUUAGCUAGUUGGUGAGGUAACGGCUCACCAAGGCGACGAUGCGUAGCCGACCUGAGAGGGUGAUCGGCCACACUGGGACUGAGACACGGCCCAGACUCCUACGGGAGGCAGCAGUAGGGAAUCUUCCGCAAUGGACGAAAGUCUGACGGAGCAACGCCGCGUGAGUGAUGAAGGUUUUCGGAUCGUAAAACUCUGUUGUUAGGGAAGAACAAGUUGGGUAGUAACUGACCCAACCUUGACGGUACCUAACCAGAAAGCCACGGCUAACUACGUGCCAGCAGCCGCGGUAAUACGUAGGUGGCAAGCGUUGUCCGGAAUUAUUGGGCGUAAAGCGCUCGCAGGCGGUCUUUUAAG